UGGAUCUAGUGAUGUGCGUAGUUUGAGUAUCAUUCGAGUAUGCACUCUCGAGUCCACUCGAAUCCCGCAAAGGGUUACAACAAGGUGAUGGUCUUUCGUGCUUGCUGAUCAACAAUGCUUUAAAGGGUAAGGAGAGCGGGGAUAAACACGAGUGGAACGAUUUUCACGAAGUCCGUUCAGCUGCUUGGUUUCGCAGAUGAUAUUGAUAGUAUCCAGCUUUCCACGCUCGCCAUAAUGGCGGAUGCUAUAAAACUGUUUGACAGCAUCUGUGCCCCGGUUAACGCAACGACUUAUUUCAUCCAUAGCAACCAUUGAUAAACACCAUAAACACAUUUUUCUCUUGUCAACGGAAAACAAACCAGCCAAAAAUUUCGUAAGCAUUGUCAAACUAAAUUAUUCAGUUUUUAAACAUUUAUUUUUCUUCUAGCUUUGAAACUGGACAUAUAAGCAUAUUCAGCUUGUUGCCGUUUCUGAUACGCUUUUCUUAAGCCUCGAGGAUGGACGCCGGAACCCAGAGAGGGCACCGAUCAAACCUUCAUCCAUUUUCCCACCUCACCGUCAUCAACUUAUCUCUUGUAGUUCGUAAAUUGCACAGCCGAAGGCAUUGCUAACAAGUUUCGUAAAACAAAAGAUUUCGCACAGAUGAAUAUCUGAUUUCCAAUAUUUCGUAAACUGAUUCAAAUGGUUAAUACAACUACGGGCGAGCAUGAUCCUACUUUAACCAGAUCUCUGACCGCACCCUUUCCGAACCCUUUCGAUAUCGGAAAUCUACUCUGCAAAAUCAGCACCAGAGUUCGUCAGGGAGAACUGAAAGCAACAUCAUUAAAAGUACUAAGAAGCCCUAAUCUACAAAGAUUGACGGUUUGUUACAUCCACCGGAGUCACAAGCUGCUGAAUGUACGAGCGGCCGCAUAAGCGCCACAUCGAAAACCGGAUGCAAGAGGAAUCACUAUUGAGCAUUUCUUUAACCAGCGACAAGCAAACGUUUGUUAACAACAUUAGCUAAGCUAAAAAAUCUAGCAAAAAACAUUUUUUUUUCACGAUAUUGUUUUACUAUUACUUUAGAGCUUUUAGUAGAACUUGUUACUUCAGACUCUAGUUUAAUUUAAAAACACUUCACUUUUGCAAAAGAAAAUAAAAAAUGAAUAACUCUUUUAAAGAAAACUAGAAAGGACGAGCAAAUUCCUUUUAAUUCUACUACUGUGCUUAUCUUCGGACAGAUAGGCCUAUUUCGUCUGUGACUUACAGACUUCUUCAGUGUCAAGUGCUCGACUGAAGAAAACCUCGCAUUCGUUGUGGUAUUUAUACUAGGAGUGUAUGUGUAGGUACGUGUGUGGGUAAAAGUGUAGUUAUAAAAAUGUAGGUACAAAAUUGUAGGUACAAAAUUGUAGGUACAGAUUUGUAAAAAAAGGUGUAUCUACCUGUUAGAAAACAGGGUGUCAAUAAGAUACCUAAAGCUAGGAAAAUUCCUACCGAUUUGGUAGGUAGUCAAUUGGUGUUUGUUGUGUUAUUUUUUCCUGCCGAUUUGGUAGGUAGUCAAUUUGUGUUUUGUGUAUUGUGUAAUGUUUUGU